GACGUAGGGGGCGAGCGUUGUCCGGAUUUAUUGGGCGUAAAGCGCACGCAGGCGGCCACGAAAGUCGGAUGUGAAAACCUGAGGCUCAACCUCGGGCCUGCAUUCGAUACUGCGUGGCUCGAGGCAGGUAGGGGAGAUCGGAAUUCCCGGUGUAGCGGUGAAAUGCGCAGAUAUCGGGAGGAACACCGGUGGCGAAGGCGGAUCUCUGGGCCUGUCCUGACGCUCAUGUGCGAAAGCUGGGGGAGCAAACAGG
rnacentral:rRNA from 1 species